AGAACAUGAUGAUUGAAUUUAUCACCAUCUUUCGACUGAAGAAAGUGAUGCACUAUAUUCUUACUGAUGGUUCU